UCCACAGCAUCUUCAGGAAUCGACCUCACCUAAGGCAAUUUAAAGGAGAACACUCUAAAAUGAGUUCUCCCCCUUUGUUUUAACCAAUCCCUUUCCACCAAUAAGGAGAAACUAAAUAAAAGUGGAUAUAAAUGAAAAAGUAGCAGUUCACUAAUUAGCAUAAUUGAAACAAUCAAAAAUCCCCAGUUCAUAAUCACUAGAUUCAGAAUUGCUAGAUCUCACAAAGCCCCCCAGAAAAAGAAGAAGCCCAAAACAGUGGAAAUAUCCCUUCCAAGAUGGCGUCUGCCACAGGGAGGCAAAGGGAAAAUGGCGUCCGACCCUCCCCUCAAGACAGCGGCCUUCAUAUGUGGCCAUGCGGUCUGAGAGACAAAGGGAAAGGGUGGCGGCAAACCCUCACAGGAAGGAGCUUACAGAGCAGUUCCAGUAGCAGAUGAGAAGAUCCGGCACGUGUGGGGUCAGCACUGCCGCCAGCCGCUUCCUCCUGCCGCCUACCGGACUCCAAGCGCUGCUGUCCCGGUGGCUGGGAGGGAAGAAACCGCCUGUCGGCACUGACGUGCAACGGCCCGACCCCUGGACUGCUCAAGAUUCACCAUGGCAUUUGAAAAGGUCACUGUGAAACAGUUUCUGGUUGGGAGAUGCAGCUUUGCCAAGUUGCUACUGUUGCGAGCCCACAAAAACCCAUCCUAAACACCCCCCUCUUUGGCAAAACUACAUCAGGCAAAGGCGGGCCCAAACGGGAAGCUUCUGCCCAGUCUACCUCAGCUGUAAGGCAAAAGUCAAGAAACAAGGGAGGCAAGAGGCGAGAGAGAGAACCGCAAGGCAAAACGGGCACUCUGGCUGAGUACUCUGACCUUGUUAAAGGGAGCAGCAUCCUUCUAACUGCACUGCCUUUCUGUGCCGCUGGCCCUAAAACACACAGUAACAGAACUUGUGCACAGAUAGAUAUGGAACAGAGUAUGCUUUUUGGUCACCCAGACACCUUCCCAGGUCUUGCUCACAGAAGGUGCCAGGAGGCAAUCCUCCAGCAUCAGGGGUCUGGCUGGCUCCUGUCUUUAACUUGGGACUCUGCAAGAGAAGGGAGUGAGUGCCUGUCAUUUCUACUGGGAUUUGGCCGUGCAAAUGCCUGCAGGGAAUCUUCCAGGGAGCAUGGAGCCUGGGCAAACACCCGUGAGAGUGCGGCUUUGGACUGUUGCAAAGGGGCCUUCUUUGGGCUUGACAUCUGCAGGGCAUUGCAGAGCCGUGGGCGGCAGGCUGCAGCCAGAGCUGCAACACAAGAAAACUGUGGCAGCCCAAGAAUCAGCGCACGGCUCUUCUGCAUGUUCUGA
rnacentral:lncRNA from 1 species